rnacentral:rRNA from 1 species
UACGUAGGGGGCGAGCGUUGUCCGGAUUUAUUGGGCGUAAAGAGCUCGUAGGCGGUUGGGUAAGUCGGGUGUGAAAACUCAGGGCUCAACUCUGAGACGCCACUCGAUACUGCCCUGAUUCGAGUCCGGUAGGGGAGCGUGGAAUUCCCGGUGUAGCGGUGAAAUGCGUAGAGAUCGGGAAGAACAUCAGUGGCGAAGGCGGCCUGCUGGGCUGUUGCUGACGCUGAGGCGCGACAGCGUGGGGAGCAAACAGG